rnacentral:lncRNA from 1 species
AUAAAUAUCAUAACAUCUUGAAGCUCAAGGUGCUCGACUGCGACAUCUUGAAGCUAGUUGAUAUUGUGGACCCAUCAAUGAACUAGCUGUCGCAUAUCGAGCAGCAGUACCACGGAUCACUUUGGCCUCUUGAAGAAGGUCACAGUUCUUGCAGAGAUCUUUAACUGAGUGAUUACCAAUGAAAUUAAGAGAUAAAGCAAUCUUGCGGAGUUUGGGAAGCACCAAUAAUUGAUCAUCAUUGUCUAGCACAUAAUUUU